UAACCCAGUUUUUUUUUUCUGCGCCAAAUCACGCUUUUAAGAAAAAAACAAAAAUCAAAAUACCUCACUUCUCUCUGAUUCAAUCCCCAAAACUUCCCGCGAAAUAUCUGAACUACCUAAGGCGAGAGACCACCUUGUUCACGGAAAUUCGCACUCGAUUUUUCUGAACGUCGGUGCAACUUUUGGCUGGCGUGAAUAGUUGGACGGGAUGUGGCAAGUGGAAUCCGAUCUAAACGAAGAUCCCAAGGACUGAUGGGAGAUUGUAGAGGAGGCUUAUGUAUACUGGAAAUAUGAUGGGCAUGGAACAUAAUUUGAGAGAAAUCACAGAGGUUACGUUUAGAUUUAAUUCUGUUUUAAUCAUAUAGUAUUUAAUUGUGCACGAAUUACAUUUCUGAAAUAAGAAGCAUGAUUCUGAUUUCUGAAUUUCUGAUUAUAAUGAUUUUUGAAAAUUACUUGGAUAGAAUGGACCAACAAUCCAGUCACUGACUGUCUGACUUAUCCCAUCUACAUUCCACUAUGCAAAAGUAACACUCAAAUAAAUAAAGUUUCAGUCACUCAUUCCACAAUCAAGGUCCACAACUGAUAAACAACUGCAGCUGAGUUGUUAUAGAUCAUUCAAUCAUCUUGUUUUUGUGUGAUUGCAAUUUGCAAGAAGCUUUCCUCCUUUGCUGUGAUAAAAAAAAUGGCUUACAAUCUUCAUUCCCUCAUCACCAUUCUUGAAGGAAUCCUGGAUCCUGACCAACCACGAUGGAUCGUUGACGAAAACAACCCUUAACUCCAAUCCCUUCUUGAUAAAGCUAUUUCUCUUCAGCAGCUCGUUGAUAAAUCUUCACUCACCAAAAUAGACAGCGAAAUCAGAGAAGUAGCACAUCAAGCUGAAGACAUCAUUGAAUCCCACAUGGUUCAUCACAUGCUCUCUGGAUCUAAUUGCGUGAGAUUCACUUUGUCCACACGAGAUCUUGAUUCUGUUAUUGAGCAAGCGGUGAAGCUGGUUGAGAUGGAGGAUAAGAAGAUGCCGUGAGAGCAUAAUUCUGCUAUGGAACAAGUGAAGCUCGUGGAUAAGAAGAUGCCAUCUAGCAGUUCAUCCAGUGUUGUGCUGGGAAUUGAUAAAGAUCUGAUGCAGCUCAAGGAUCGGCUUGCCGAGAUGCAAACAAAGCUGGAGAUCGUCCUCAUCGUUGGUAUGGGUGGAGUAGGUAAAACAACUCUUGCUCGAAAGCUUUAUGAAGAUCCAUUGAUUGUCGAUCACUUUGCAUGUCGUGCUUGGACCACAAUCCCACAAGAUUACAAUAUGCCACAAAUUCUCAAAAGCCUUCUUCGUUGCAUAACUGAACAAGAAUGUGAUCAACUUUUGUAAUGAUUUAAAAGAUAUGUUGUAUAGAAGGUAGAAAGUACUUGAUUGUAUUAGAUGAUAUAUAGAAUACAAAAUUCUAGGAUGAGAUAA